GCUGCCAUGUAGUGUGUUGGAGUUUGAUUAUGUUGCUAAUCUUGAUCAAAAUGAUCAAGAUAAAUGCUAAAAUGGAAUUGGUUGCUUCCGAGCUAAAUUAGUAGCUUGUGGAGGUUUAUUAAUGUGUUUUGGAAGUGUUUGAAUGGACUCGAAGUAAAUUAGAUGCACAAAAGGGGCUGAAAACUGCUGCUGCCAGCUGCUGUCUAGUGCAGGACUGAUUUGUAAACGUGUAGGGACUGAUUUGUAAACCUGCAGGGACUGAACUGUAAACUGCUGGAUUGCAAUGCUGUUUCAGUCUUUUAAGGGGUUAAAGUGCAAUUUUUUGAGCUUAUCUUUUAGCCCCAGGUUAAUUACACCUGCCUACGUAUUCAGCCCCCUCUCUCUCUUCUUUCUUUUCAUCUCUUUCCUCUUUCUUUCUCUCUCUAGGCUGGUUGAGGCUUGGUGAGUUGGUGCUGGCAGAGUUGGAAUUUUGGGGCUUGUGGAGCUGCCGAACUGCAAGGUUCAGCUGAGGAAGCGUGGAAACCUGAGUGAGCUGUAAGGAAAUUGGUGGAGCAGAUUUUCAGCAUUGGAGUUUAUUGGUUGUUGGAGCUGAAAGCAAGCUAGUUGAGCAACAACUUGAGGUUAGAUGUGCUCGGAAGUUCGAAUUGAUAUUCCGACGGUCCUACGAUGCGCUAAUUAAGAAACGCUUCGUUCUAGCCUCGUUUGCAUCGAGUCGCGAGGGCUAGUUGUUUAUAUAUUUCGAGACGUUGGUUCUGGUGUUUCGGCAUCCCUACAGGUGGGUGGUGCUAUCCGAAAUCUUUGAAUCUCUCUUUAUGUCUAUGUCGUCUUGUUGAGCAUAUUUAUAUAUGGAUUGCAUCAUAUUCAUGCAUUAUAGAGAAAUUGUGUUAUGCAGUUAGUAACUGAACAAUUGAAUUCUCGUCAAUGUAAUGAACCUAUGGACAUAGAACCCUAUGAAUGUGUGAAUUACUGUGGACUAUGACAAUAGUAAAUUUGGUGACAUUAUGACUAGAAGAAUUGGUUAGCAUCGAGAUUGGAAUUGUAAACUAGCAUAAAGAGCUAGUUAGAAUCUAAAGUGUAGCAUUGUCAGCUGUUGAAUCCUCUAUGUGAGGGUUGGAUCUACUCACAUUAGUCUAAUGCUCGAGGUAAGGUCGCUCCUCCUUGGGCGAUAAGCUCCGGAGUGUGUCAUCAGCUGGGUUGAUCGUAUAAGCCUUCCCAGUAGACGGUCCCGUCGGGAGGCAGCUUAGGGCCCGACAAAAAGGGAUUGAGUUGGUGAGUUAUAGUUAACUAAAUGGUUAACCAGAUUGAUUGGGUAUUGGUUAUCAAUAGCAUGCAUGCAUAAAAUUCAUCUGUUACAUAUUGCCCUUUUCAGCUUUGUACAUGCAUUGUAGUAGUUACACGUUUUAGCUGGUUACUAUCUACUUUCUUUUCUUGCCUACAUAUGCCUGAAUAGACCUAGUGGGUGAGUCGGCGAGGUCGCCGGCCGAACCCACUGGGAACUUUUAGUAGUUCUCACACCAUUAACCAUACAGGUUUUAGUUCGUGCGGGAUGGUCAAGGAUCGUGACAGGGACAGCUCGCAGUAGAUAGCGACAUCCAUUGAGUAUAGUUAUACCUUGUAUAUUUCA